ACCAUCUUGGCAGUAGAUGCUAAAACUUGAAAGACACCGAGAAGAUUAGCAUGGCCCUUGAGCAAGGAUUACAUGCACAUUCAUGAAAUGUUCCAUAUUUAA